rnacentral:rRNA from 1 species
UGGGGAAUAUUGGACAAUGGGCGAAAGCCUGAUCCAGCCAUGCCGCGUGAGUGAUGAAGGCCCUAGGGUUGUAAAGCUCUUUUGUGCGGGAAGAUAAUGACGGUACCGCAAGAAUAAGCCCCGGCUAACUUCGUGCCAGCAGCCGCGGUAAUACGAAGGGGGCUAGCGUUGCUCGGAAUCACUGGGCGUAAAGGGUGCGUAGGCGGGUUUCUAAGUCAGAGGUGAAAGCCUGGAGCUCAACUCCAGAACUGCCUUUGAUACUGGAAUUCUUGAGUUCGGAAGAGGUUAGUGGAACGGCGGGUGUAGAGGUGAAAUACGUAAAUAAUCGCAAGAACACCAGUGGCGAAGGCGGCUCACUGGCCCUAUACAGGCGCUGAGGCACGAAAGCGUGGGGAGCAAACA